AUGCUUAGAGGAUGAUUAUCCUGGUGGGGAGUGCUCACUGAGCCCUCAGUGUUAGCACUAACUUGGGUUGAUUUUCAGAACCUCUAAGACAAGUUCUCUUUCCCACUGUCUUCUUCCAUUGGCCAUUCUUUCCACACAAUACAAAAACAGUGAUUAAAUUUCUUUUCUUUUUCCUCCUUUCUUCUUCCUUCCCUUCUUUUCCCCUUUUUCAUAAUUGGAGAUGGAAGCCAGGACCUUGCAUAUUCUAGGCAAACGUUCUACCACUGAGUUACAUACCCAGCCCGGACCACUUUUCUUUAGGAACAUACACCAACAUGGCUCCUUUGUGCCGAUGACAAGCACCGGGUUAAUGGUCCAGCCUGAGGAAGGCCCUGGGAGGUCUGGGCUGUGAUGCUUUACUGUGUGCUCCUUUGCAUCUGUCCACUCCACUUGCCUUUUAUUUUUCUUCCUUUCAUCUUAUCUCCUCCCCUGAAGAUAUUCUGAGUCAGGCUUUGGACACAGGAACAUCUCCUCCCCAGGAGUGCACAGUCCCUCUUUUCCCUUCCUGCCCUGUCCUCUGCAGGGCCUGGUACUGAAGAGGGAGCCCAGAUAUGGUACAGAAGCCUUGGAGAGCCUCUCCUCAGCCUGCUUUCUCUGGGCCUGGGGAGCAUCACACCCCGGGAUGCCCCAGAACAUGAUGGAUUCCCCAGACAGUGGCAGCCCUUGGUCACAGGUGAACUCGUCCCUUGCAUACCUCCACCAAAGAUGUGUCACUGGAGGGUGUCACACAGUGGUUGUCCACAUGCGUUCCUUCACUGGUGGACUGGAGCUUCCGAGUCAAAGUCUGAGAGCAGAGGUGAGACUUUU
rnacentral:lncRNA from 1 species